AGUAACCUCAUUUUUCGGUUUUUUCUUGUUCAACGUUUGACCAUUUGUCUUAUUUAAAAAAUUUAAAUAAAAACUUUAAAAAACUAGUCACGUAUAAAUUACUAUUUAUAUUUUAUCAUUUAGUAAUAAUAAAAAAAUUAAUCAUAAAAAAUUUUAAAUAAGACGAAUGGUCAAAUGUUGGACAUGGAAAAACGAGAAGCUUCUCCCG
rfam:Oryza brachyantha chromosome 2, whole genome shotgun sequence.